GAGACGAUCCUUACAACACUUCUAUUUGUCCUUUAAAUAUGAAGCUGCAGACAGGAGAGGGUGAGCUUAACUUAAAGAUGGGAAAUAAGUACUGACAGCCAGCAUGUGCCCUAACCUUCAGCUUUCUUAAACACAGCCAUUUUUCGUCUUCCUUCCUAUAGAUUUAAAGGAAUUCACAUCACAUUGAAAGCUAAGACAACACCUGAUAAUACGUUGUUCAUUGUUAAUUCUCACUUUGUAGGAAAUCCUCCUUCCUGCCCCGUCCUGGGGGACUUAGGUGUGACCAGGUGUGACCUCUUAGGUCUUUCUGAUGAUAAAUCUCUCCCUUUGUUUCCUGCAGUAAGUUGGAUUCCUGGUGAUACUUGCUAUCCUCCAGAUGAGCUGCACUCUAGAUGCGUUAUUAGAGUAAGUGAUGGAAAUUUAUCAUUGUUACGUCUGUUUCUUUGUAUUCCGGCACCGUUUUAUUGAUGCAGAGAUUUUUCUUAAUGGACAUAAAGUCAUGUUUCUACACGUUGUUAUUUUGUGAUCUAACAUCCAUCUGAACCUUUCUACAAAAUAGUUUACAAUGCCUUUUGUUCACAGAUAUAUAAUACGGUAGUGGGAUGCAGGGCUUGUUUGCGCUGACCCUGAAACCCCGGGUUUGAAAUCAGCAGCUAGUCAUUAGCUGGAAAGAACACAAAGAUUUCAGGGAACACGGUAGAAGUUUGAUCUCAAUCUCAAAUCAAUGCGGGUAUCGGCUAUGGAGAGAGACGGUGAGAAAUAAUUGGGUGGAAUGCCGGGGGGUUUGAAGAUUACUGUAUGCACCCCACCUCUACUGUACUCCACUUGUGUCUGCAUGCAUUAUUAACUCACACACACACACACACACACACACACACACACACACACACACACACACACACACACACACACACACACACACAAAUACAUCUACACCGUCCUUUGAGAGUCAGGUGUUAUUAGCUGUGUUCAUUGUUGCAGGCGGGCUUGGGUCAUACCACUUACAGACUCAAACGUGUGGAAGCCAGUGAACGGGGGGGGGGCUGAUCGUCACAGUGGGAGGUCAGAUGUGAGACAGUAUUGUGUGUGUUUGGAAAUAUAGAUUCUGUACAUGAGUGCACAUUAGCUUAAUUUAGUGUAAUAAUGGUGAUUUCUUAAGUGUUCAUAUUUGGAGGGGAAAUGUUGGGUUUUAAAAAUAUUCCAAAAUAGGUUAAAUAAUUAUGAAAACAAGAUUGGAAAAUUGCAGGAAAGUGUGUCCUCCAAGAAACAAUAAUCUGCUGCGAAAAUGCUUUGGAUGUAAAUAAUCAGUGUAAAUCUUGCCGUGGUUGGAUGAAGUGUGUCUUGGUGUAUUACUGCUGUAAAACUCAAGUGAGAGCCUAAUAUAGUUGUAGGAAAUUCAUUCAUUAAGGCGAUUAUAGAUUGUUAAAUAAAGAAAAAGCAUUUUGCCUUUAUAUUAAAACAAGUAUUGCCAAACAACUGAAAGGUAAACACAAACAAAUAUGUUGCCAUUAGUUGAACCUGUUUUGUUUGGAAAGCUAUGGAAAAAGCCAUGGACAGACAAAAAGAAAAGGAUGUAGAUCAGCCACUCACCUAACAGGAGUAAAGAUGCUAACGGAUUAGCUAAAGACCCCAAGUGGGUACAUUUUUAAGUAGGGAAAAUGUUGUUUGCGUGUGACAUUUCACCGGAAAUCGGGAAUCGAUGCUGUAAAUCAGGGGCGAUAUACUUAUGAAGUCAAAUCUAGGCCAAAAGUUAUCAUCAUUUGAAAAAGAUCAUUGAAAGUCAAAGUUUCAGUCUUGAGAAUUGAAAAAUACCAAACAUUAAGAUUUUUUUUUUAAAAAGAAUAAAAAGUAUUUUUUGGAAUGAAAUAUCAAUUUUAAUUCUUUGCAUAUGUAUUUUUUUAUAUUUGAGGUCUUGAAUUUGUUCAGUUGUAGAUUAUAUAUUUUCAGAUUGAAAUCUUAUUUUUUUCCCUUUUAAAUUUCACUUUCAGAUUGUAAGGUUUUAGUUUACUCAGUUUUCUUUUUCAAUGAAUCAAAACCUUUGGCCUGGAUUUGACUCUUUACGAUACACUAUUCCAGUGACCUCAUGGUCAAAGAUCUUCCUAUAAUGGUAUUAAGUACUCCUGUCUGUCAGCAAUUAUUCAAAUGAAAGUACCUGUACUUUAUAUGAUGUUGGAACCCGACCCUAUUGUGUAGGUUGCCUGUAUACCUGCUGGCAGGAUCUAGUUAUCCAAAAUGGUCCUUUGUGUUCUCAUUUUGUUCUGAAAAUCAAAUUUGGUUCACUGCAAAACCCCAUGCUAAUGUGUAUACUCCUACAAAAAGUAAAUGCAUUGUAAACACAACAGGUGUGAUGGAAGAUAAAACGAGGCAUGAUGAUGUGUUCUGAAAAAGGAGGAUGAGAGAGAUAACAGACAAACCGUAUUAUCUGUUUGUUACAGGUGUAAUAGAAAUUCUGCUUUGGCUCAGACUAUGAGAGACAGAGAGGGAUGGAGGGGGAGCAAUGGAGAGAGAGAGAGAGAGAGAAAAUAAAUGUCCUCAGGGUGAUAGUGGUCUCUGUUCAGUGUCUGAACAAAAUGCCUGGUCUGAGUGAGCAAGGCCACUAACCAGCAUGGAACCCCACGGCAUCAAGCCGGCCCUCAUAACACUUACGUAUACGCUGCAAUUUGUUUAAAUACAUACUUCACGUCAAACACAAGCAACCACUCUGGUGAAGCAGAAGGCUUUAUUAUGAAUAUAAAUGUAGACUUUUGUCUUUAUUAUAAUUAUUUAUUUAUUUAUUUAUAAAUUGUCUUUAUCGCAGGUUAGAAAAUAGGUUAAAAAUUCCCCAGCAAAUCUUUUAAUAGUGUUUCCUCGCAAACGAAUGGUAUAAAAGGUGCGAUAUAAUUUGGAAUGAAGUCCCGUGGAAUUUACAGCAGGUCAAUAAGGUUUAAAGGGAUAGUCAAACGUUUUUGGAAAGUAAACUUCUUCGGUAUCUGGCGAAGGGUUUGAUGGGAAGAUUGAUACAACCUCAAUUUUUUGUGUUCCAAACAUGAAGCUUGAGUCAGUAGCAGGUUAGCAAGAGGGAAAGGAAUCAAUGCGAAGCCCAACAAAAAAUGUAGUGGUGCUGAAAUGUAUUUAUCGCGUCAUGAUAAUUACAUUUUUUACCUUUGACCAAACUAGUUUUUACUGAAGAGAGCCGGAAAGCACCACAAUAAAAACGUUAAUUGUUCGCUCCAAGCAGGACUGUGUUGUUUUCUGGCUAUUAAAAACAAACAAAAAAAAAGUACUGUCACAUUUUCCAAAUUUUGACAGUUCUCAUGAAAUGUCUAAAUGCAGUUCACUUUUGCUCAAUGAACGAUAAGCAGUUCUAAACCAAGCGAUCAGCCCACAGUGAAACAGAUAACAGCCAUAAUACAAAAUAAAACAUGAUGGAUGUUGAUAUUGCAUUACAUGUACAUGUCCUUUAGCUUUUAUCCAAAGUAACUUACAAUAAGUGCAUUUCCACCAUGAUAUUGUGGCGAGCCGCUACGAAUAAAUUAAGGUAUUGGAAACACUGGGAAAGAAAAUAUGCUCAAAUCGGGCUUCUGAAAACCCUCCAGUUGUGUGUCUGUGAGUGAGUGUGUGUGAGGAAGGGACAAGGAGACAAAGGGGACACUGGUGUGGCCGAUGGGCUGCUUGGUCUUUCUUGAUGCUUAACCAAGAGGACAGGAGGAGGCCCGACCAUGACGCUCAUCACUUCUGAUGCCCCCAUCUGUACUGGUGUCUCCCCACCAGUCAACCAGCCAACACACACACACACACACACACACACACACACACACACACACACGGCUCUAAUCUCUUCUGACAGUGCUCACAUUCAGUUAGGCCCCACAGUGCUUUUGCAUGUCACUGACCAUAAACAAAACAUACACUCCUCUACAGGAGACACACCACAGGACACAGGGCGCAGAUACCCGAGAAACACCACAAGACAGAGGUGUGUGGGGGGAGUGUGUGCGUUGCAAAAAUGUGUGUGUGCCGCCUUUGAUGGCUGCGUGUAUGAGAAGCUUCUAGGGAAGGAGAACAGAUGCCUGCAGGUCAUGUCCGAUCUCGGACGAUCGGGCAAAUCGCAAGGCUCGGUGAUUCCUGCGACGCGGAAAGAGGGAAGGGCGGUAAAAGGAGAAGCUACGUGGAAUAUUGUGGAUUUUGCCAAGAUGCAUUUUAUGGAAAUCAACCAAGGCUGAAUGAGCAGAAAAGAAAUAUGCUCCUCGGUUCAAUUUGCAGACACAGAGGGACGGUUGUAGUUUGCAGGACUAUUGCCCUGAUAAAAGAAAUGUUUGCGUAGCUUUUGGAACUUUUGGAAACCCCGGAUCCGAGACGGCGAGGACGCGUUGGGCUCGUCAAUGACAUACAGCCAAUGGGAGCGCAGGAUGUAUGUUGGGGGGGCGUUUCGUGGAGGUUGUGCCUGUUGAAAUCACUUUCUUUGAUUUAAAAAAACAAAUAAUCUAAUAAAAGCCGGAAUGGGUGCCGGAUAAAUCCAAUUACCUUCACCUGCACUUCUGUUUUCUUUUCAGUGUUUGGUGGCAGCUUGUUUUCGAAUACAAAUGAGUUCACGGGAAUGUCGUCCUAAACCUGUAAGGGUGGAGCAAAGGGCGGUUAUAUUCAAUCAAGUAAUGUCACCCAGAAGUCGGCACCAUGUGAAACUAACUGCAAUCACAAAAAAGGCCACACUGAUGAUUAUUGGGGAAUUAUCCCCAUGGGCUCCCUUAGCAGUCCAUUACAUCGCAUGCUGGAAACGUCAAAGCCAGAUUUAAGUGCCUUUUACUUUAACUUUUAAUUUGUUGACGCAUACUUACAUUUCAUGCGCCUUCUUUCAGAGUCCGAGAAUUUUGUCCGUGGAAAGAAAAUAUGUCGUGGAAUCAAAAUCAGGAAUCAGGAAACAUUUAUUGCCAAAAUAUGUCAAACAUACAAGGAAUUUGUCUUGGCGGUUGGUGCGUAACAGUAGACACAAAACGGACAAUAGACAACAAGACAGCAGUGCACAAGUAAUAAAAUAAAAUAAAAUAAAAUGAAAUGCAAUGCUAAUGCAAUGGGUAGUAGAAUAAGGCUAUAGGUUAGAAUAAAAUAAGAGAAUAAAGUUAAAGUUAAAAAUGUAAAAUAUUUUAAAAAUAUUAAAAAUAAAGUGCACUAUCGAACAAGUGAAAAAGUGACGAGUGACGGAUCUAAAUAUACCAUGAAACAGAAAUGCACCUCUUGUCUUAUUUUAACAGACCACUCGAAUAAAGGUUCAAACAUGAACUCGUAUUCUUAUAAAUAUGAAGCCAUCGCUCAUUUGAAACCACGUUCAAAUUUGAAUGUACCAAAUAUAUCUGCACAUCACUUCCAUGGGAAGUGAAACAGGACAAAAAGCCACACAUAGUUGUUUCCACAUAUUUAUUCACCCGUGUUAUAUCCUGAAAUCUUCAUCAGAUACCCGAGUUCAUCGCUGUAAUCAUGCAGUGAGGUACAAUUUCUCGUGCAGAUUGUACGUCUCUUCUUUAGUUCAAAAGCUUUGCAAAAAUGAUUUUCCUCCACUUGAGAAACAAACUAUUGACACUCACAGACUCCCCUGGGGUUGUUUCUAAUAUUUUUAGCUCCUGUCAAAAAUUAUUACUUUAGGUUUCGCUGUUGUGUUUUGUGUAGAUGCGCUUCCAGUGUGGGUCCCUGGAGAAGAAGGUUGAAUCCCAGUGAGCAAGCAGCUCUUUGGCUGCUGGCUGCUUAGGGAAUGGAAACACAGACAGACGUUCCCACCAGAGAAACAGUGCUGUUUACAGACGGUUUUAAAGCCGUUUUACUUUUUUAACUGAGCGACACUCGUCGUCGUGUGACGGGAAAGACAAGAGUAGGCGGCAUAAACAAAAAGAUCCAAGUGGAUGUGAACCAACAGCAUCGUGUAGGUGACACGUACUCUAAUUAUUCAGUCCAACAAGUCCUCAUACCUUAAUGAAUGAAUACCACAUGAAUGUGUCGUUGUGCUGCAAGACACGGCUGUCGAUAAUUUACGGUAAAGUUUAGGCAACUAGGUUAAGGUUAACGACUUAGUUAAGGUUUCGGGGGGGAUCGCCUUUGUUGUUCAUAGAAGCAAACAGUGAAUCUGGAGAUGGGGGGACGCAAACCCCCACGCUGUGUGAUAAACAACCUAAAAAUAGCGCCGUGGUAGAGCACUCGCAUGGGGGACUUCACGGGUUUGGUGAGAAGGUCGGAUCCUGCAUGUCCAGCUGGAAGGACGCACCAUUAGCGUUCCAGGGUCACAUGGCUGCCGAGACCGGUCGCCGUUAUCAAUGACGUUGGCGUUGAAAAUGCAUCGGCAACCUUGAAAUCAACAACUUAUGUUAUAGUAAGUUUAAAGUUUGAAGGAGUUAAUGAUGAUUAUAAUGAUAAUACUGAUGGUUUUGACAAAUGCAAAGCAUGGAAAUACGAAUUAAACAGGCUUCAAAUUCAUAAAAGGCUUUCUGAAGAAGAACAGUUUUCUAACAAAGAAACGAUUAUACCUGCAAGGAGGACAAAAACUCUUCUGCUUUAUAAGAUCCCUCCCAAGUCAAAUUGGCCUCGGAUGACAAAGGACAUUUUCUGACUCAUCUACUCCCCACAAAGUGUGAGGAAAGUCCUGCAGCACCAAUGGAGAAGACACCUUUAGAGUCUGGUUUUAGGUUACUUUAUCACUGUGUGCACACACACACACACACAACGAACAGAUUGGGCAUGAUUGGCAGUGCUGACCUGAAUGUGCAGAUGCCCCCCCAGCUACAAACGAGCAAGCGAGCAUACAAAGAGGCACACACACACACACACACACACACACACACACACACACUGCUAUACACAAUGGUGCACAUAUUAUCUUGCUUGUAAGCAUUCAUCUGCCCAAAAAGGAGCAACAGAAAUAAGUCCUAAAACCAGAAAACGUGUUGGCAUUAUCACACUAGUUCUGCCUGAAAUGAUUUGUGUGGUUAAUUCCAGAGUGAAAUGAACUGUUAACAAUUGUUAACAGUUCAUCUCAAUCUGGAAUGCUCUAAUUGUCUUUUAAAAAGGUGGUUGUCAGCGGGGGGGUUGGAUGAGACUAUGUCACUAUGCCCUGUACCCCACCUUCAGCUCAGUGACGUGGUGCAGUGUGUUUAUGUAUGUAUUUAGGUGUCAAAAUUCAUAGUCGUGGUGUAAAUAUUAACUUGCUGAUUAAAAUGUGCACGUAUCAUAAAUUUGUUUUAGCCCGAGGGCUUUUUUCUGUAAUAAUCCAACGGAAGAAUUUCCAAUGGGAUUUUUAUCGAGGGAGCUGGAGGUUUACUCAUUUCAUGGUUGGCCGUCAUGCAGAUGCACCGAUUCCAAAUAUUUUUGUGGAUUACGAUUUUUGAAUAAGUUUCAAAUGUUCAUUCAGAUUUUUACAAAUUCCGAUGGUCUUCCUAAGGAUAAUAGACAGCAAACCUCCAGACUAACUUCAAUGUUGACAAGGUGAUUGUCAUCCAUAACAGUAAAGUACAACUAAAAUGAUUUGCCAAUUAAUAAUUGUAUUUUGUAAUUAGUAAAUUGUCAGGUUUCGUUGUGUUUUUUAUUACGUAUAGGAGAUUCUGCUCGGGGCCGUCGUGUUGAGCUAAACUGGUCAUAAUUCACUCGCAAACUGUCAGGGUUGGGUAGGAAGGCAGGACUCAAGAUGCAGACUUAAACAAAAGAGACUUUAAUAGUCAAAAACUCCAACAAAGUAUAAGGCCAUAAGACAGGAAGUGCACCACACCGUGACACAAACACCUAUUUCACAUUUCAACACAUCAUAGUAGCAUUUUAUUUUACUUAAAACUUCUUUUGACAAAGUAGAGGUUGCCACACAAUCGAGCCAAUAAAUUGUUUCCUCUCAGCUCUUCCCCAAAUGGCUCCGAGUGAGUGUUAACAGGAGGGAUACCAGCCGCUUGCAGCCCUGAGCCUCGGCCCCCCCGCUGCAGACAACAGUGGGCGAAUAUUCAUCCCUGCUCAUGUAAUCAUUGUGACUUCAGUGUGGUGGAUCUGAGGGGUUGUUCUUAUGACCUGCAGGGCUUCAGAGGAACUCCAGUAGCUUGUUUGGAUCAUGUGAGCUGGAGGGAUGAGGAUGUUUCAUUUAUUUGUUUUUCCCAGUGGAGGGAAUAUAUGCUCUGUCCUUGAUGACUUUAUGUCUUAAACUUCAGCUUUAAGUUUCAAGAAUAUUCUUAAAUAUCUUUUUUAAUUGCCACUUUUAUUACCGCAUAAAAAUGUAGGGGAUUUGAAGGGGAACAGAUACAAACAUUCACACUGUGUAACUCUGUUAUGUUUGGCAAAAACUGAGAAAAUUAUGGCCUCAUUAUCCUGAAAUCACUUUUUAAUUUGAAUUAAUUGACCUAGGCGUAAAGAUAUUACAUAGCAUGUUGCUACUGCGUCAUGCAAAGCGGUGAUAAAGUGUAAUAAAUCCAACGUCCCCUAUUUCUAAGUUUUUAAAAACUGUUUAGCCCUGGCACUGUAAGCUCAUGCACACACACACACUCACUCUCACACACACACACACACACACACACACACACACACUCUGAUUGCAAAGGCGGAGCAGAGAGUAGCAAAGCAGAAAGCGAGAGGAGGGCUCACCAUCUCCUCCGUUAAGCCUGGCUGACUAAUUCUUGCUGCUAAUUUGCGUUUGGUUAAUUAACUAAUUACUGAGGAUGUCUGAGGGCGAGGCUGUCUGUCAGCCUGUAUCAGUAAUUAUUUUCAGCGUUUUAAUUAGACUCACACACUCCUAGUCUCAAUUUCUCCCCUCCUACCACACACCCGCACACAUUCUAGCGUAAGUAAACAGCCUAACAACAGCAAGGAGGCCCUGUAACGUCUCUAUCUGGUUUUCUGAUGUUUAAGGUUUCACGAUAAUUUACAUUUACAACUUUAUUUAUAUAAAGAGGAGGGUAUUUUACUGACUUGCUGUUGGAACGUUAUCAAUAUCAUGAAUACAGUGCAGGGACGUCCCACUAGAGAAAGACUGUUUAGAUUUAUCCCCCAUUUCCUCCCUGUGUGCUGCAGAGUUUAUUUUAAAGGAAUAGUUUGGCAUUUUGGACAAUAGGUUUAUUGGCUAUAGAGUUUAAUGAGAAGAUUGACACCACCCUUAAACCGGGGAACAGCUACAGCCUGGCCUUUUCACAACUUUAAAAGAUCACUAACCAACACUUGUGAAUCUGCACAAAAAUAUCUAAGAAUCACACCUGGUGCUGCUAUGGGGAGCUAUAGCUGGGACUAUUUCUCAUCUGGGUGGAGGGAUUUCCUGAAGUCCUAUCGUACUGGGAAUGAAUAUGAGAAUUGUAUGAGUUUGUUUAAUUCAUUCUUUUUAAAAAGAACCAUGUUACUGAAGCACAGUUUCUGAGAGGCUGAGGUGGAAUAAAACACUGCAAGUCAAGUUAGAGGUGGGAGGUGAAAUAUGAUCCGAGUCCAGUUUGAGGGUUACAUUGUGUGCUUGUACAUUGACUGCUCUAUAUGACUUCUCCUUCCGGACUUGUUGAGUCCAAACUCCUGGACGAAGCCCAAGGAGGACUAUUAGGGUCUCAAUCCCAUUUCACUCGCUAACUCUGCAACCCAAUGCGCUCGUAGGUCCUUCUCAUGAGAUCAAACAAACAUUAAGUGCAACCACUUUUCUGGACAGUCUGUUUCAGAGGCCUUUCCCCCCCUGAUAGGAAUCCCCCGCUGGGGGAAAUGGGGGCGCAGCGUUUCUUAUCGUUUAAAAAUCUGUGGAAUAGAAAUACAAGGUUUGCUGUUAAAGCGCAUGUGCAGAAAUACAUCAUAGCUGUCAAAAACCAUUACAGAGAGAUAUCUUAACUGAGCAAUGACUGAGAUUCAUGAUGUAAAAUUCUCAAUGAAAAGAAGUCUUGGCAAAGAUGAACUAUUCUGUAAAGCUCUGAAUUGUCUCAUUGCUUUACUGUAGAAAUUGAAUUGAUUCCCUUUUUUAAUGUAUUCUUGUUUUGAGGCUUCAAUGCCAAAAUAAGAUGCCUCAUCAGCUUUCUGCCGGGUCAGAUCUUGGCACAGAGAGAAGGAGAGGAAGAGAGAGAGAGGGGGGGGGUUAAAUAGUGAACGGAUCUCUGCAGAUUUCAUACCAAGAAGCCAACUUUAGUAAACAGGCAGAACUAAUGAGGACACUGAACACACACACACACACACAUGCAGACACCCACACCCACAUCCACACACACACACAACUUAGUGUCUGAGUAUUCGGAGGCCCCCCAGGCCCCGGGGCCAGAGCAGCCCAGAUACCUGAUGGGAGCAGGGACAUCAAAGCUGCAGGAUUAGAGAGAGGGGAGAGCGCCGCGGGGAGGAAAUGCUAACUUAUUAUCCGCUUCCCAGCUAAUCCUGUUAUCUACAGAAUAUAGCUGUGUUUAACCCCCCCUACACACCUCCCUCUGACAACACACACACGAGGUGUACACACACACAGAAUUUGGUGUUCGGGGGGUUCGGCAGCCUCCCAGAGCGUCCCCUGGUUCUACAAUGAACCCCCAAAAGCCAUCUGGUUGUGUAUCUUAGUUUAAGAUGAUGUACAUGCAAUUGACCCCCCACCACCACCACAUGCUCAAGUCCCAGUCCUCUUCGUAGAUCCUUCGUUAGUUGGGCCAAUAAGGUCGUCCUUAAGUCCACUUCAGUGUUGGGGGCCACUCAGGUGAUGUAACGCCCCCUCGGGCAGACCAAUCGGAGGCCCAUGAAUAAGGCCCCCCCCCAUAGGCUGAGUUUGGCACCCAAGCUGAAUACGAUUUAGUUCCCACAAUUCACUUUCAUUUGUGCUCCAAUGUUCACAAACUGAAUUCAAUACGGAAUUGUCCUUUUUGAAAAUGUGUACAGUAUUGUGCUACAUUUUAAUUCAUAAUGAUUUAAAGAUAUUUGAAUUGCGUAGCUGAAGAACAUGUGAAACAAAGCUCAUGUGGGUUCAUGUUUGACAGAUUUAAGUUCAGACUGAGCAUAUGUUCACAUGAGAUGCUCCCCAAACCCUUUUAGAAAGGUGUAUUAAUGUCCGAUUUCAUCACGUGAGAGAUGCAUUAAUGCUCACACUAUCUACUUUUCAACGGAAGAAGUCAUCUGGCACACAAACAGUGAGAUGUGAGAGCUUCCACAGAGGCAGAGUUAUAGUCGGACGUUUCGUUAAAGCAGGAUAAGAUCUCAGCUCUUCUAACAUGUACUUGUUCUUGUGCUGUGAAUGUUAAUCUGUACCAGUAAAUAAACUUCAUUUGAAGAAUGCUGAAGCUGUUUCACCUGCACUGAACCAACAGAAAUCACUCCUUUUUUAGGCUUUUUGUCUUACGACUGAUGAAAGCGUUGAAAUGAGACUUGUUUUGAACCUAAUGGUGCUCAUUAAAUAUAAGUCAAAUAUCUGUCAAAUGUACUUUCAGAUCCUUCAGGUGGCAGAUGUUUGUCUUUUGGGGCUGAGUACAACUAGCUUUUAUGUUUAUGUUUAUUUACUCCUUACAGAACUUAGUUUAUUUAAGUAUAAAUGCUGUAGAGACAAAUGUUAAAGGACCAAUAUCAAUGCUAUACCUUCAAGUGCUGUUCAUUAGCACCUUCAUUAGAGUUCAGCUGUACAAAUGACUUGUUGCACAUCAUCUGUCUCUGCUUAAUUAUGGUAAUGAUGUUAAUAAUUUAUAGAUAAAACAUCCUAAGAGGUUAUUAUCAGAAAUGAAGAUACGCAUUACUACAAUCUAUUAAAUUAUCAAAGAGGAGGAAUAUAAAUUGGUUUAUUGUUUGAUAUGUAAUUGAUACUUUGAAUGAUUUAUCAGACAAUUUAUUAAUUCAUUGACAAUUUGUUCUCUUUCCAAAGAACACAGAAUAAACUUGACUAGCCGUUUCAAACAUCACACAUCUGCACACAGAGACCGUUUUCACAGACUAUUGGACGAUGCGAGGGAAUUCAUUAUAUUUAUGACAGCAUGUAGGCAGCAUAUGGACCGCUAAUCCUCCCCGAUUAAGCUCCAAUAAAUUGAGCUACCACAAGAUGAUAAGCUGGCAAACAAACAAACUCUUGAUUGUGGAUCUUAACCGGCGUCAAUGUUACACCACGAUGAAAUACAAACGCCACAAAGGACUUAUAUUACCACCAUAACGUGGCUGCAUGACCACAAACUUAUAAUGCAAACGGGUCCUGUACAUUCAUUUACUGGUAGGCAUAAUUAGCUAAAAUAAGCUAAAAUUAAAAGGGUAAAAAAGGGGAGUGGGGGGCAUUUCAUUGCAGGUAAUGUUUAUCUGAACAGAAGUGGUAAAAGAAUAUGAUGCGCUAAUACAUGUAGAUGAAGUAAAAUUGUCAUUAGGCUAAUCAGCACUAAACUAAUUGGGAGUCAUGGACCCUUCAUAUCUGCUAAUUCUAACCCUAAACCCCAGCUCAUAUCUGCAAGCAAAUACAGGAGGAGAGAGAGAGCAAGAAACGUGGAGGGAAAGCGCUGAAAAUGAGAGUGAGGUAAGAAGAGGAAGAGAGAGAUGAAGCCUAAUUAAGAGUGCUGGGAUUUAUGCAAAUGAGACGGUGCUGAUAUGGUAAUCAGAGCCUUCAGGGCCGUAACAGGCUGUGUGUGUGUGUGUGUGUGUGUGUGUGUGUAUCUAAGAGGCUGACAGCUGGCUGUGAGGAAGGUCAGAGCCAAUCAGGCUCUUACUCUAAUGCACGCUGCCCUGUGGCCACUCCAGCAUCUCACUGCGCUCGCUCGCUCUCUUUUCUUGGUAUCUCUCUGCCCCUCGCUGUUAUCCUAACCCUCUACAAUCAUUCCGUCUCUGCCUCUCUUUCCUUUACAUUUCGCCGGUUGUCCGUCUCGGUGCGUCUCGAUGCCGCGCACGAACUCAUGGACAACCAUUGUUUUCACACAUUCACUGACGAUUGGACGUCAACGCACGUUUGUCACUUCCAUCUCGCCUUAUUCUAUAUCAUGAAUAUUUAUCUAUGUGGACGUUGCUAGACUUUUUGGUACAUUAUUCAAUAUUCCCUUAGUGUCUCUCUGAUUAUAGGUGGAAGAAACCUGAAAUAAAACACGCAAUUAUCUGAAAAGAGUUUGUAAGUAUCACAGGCCACAUUGUUGCCUGUACUUAUUGUCAUUACUUACAUCAAAUACAUUGUUUAUUAAAUAAGCCUCCUAUGACUUCUGUGACUUGUCAAUAAGUUAAUGUAACCAUUUGAUGGGUACAAUUGAGUUUCACUACAAAACAAUAAAUCAUGCAAAAGCACCACUUUUAAUCAUGUUAACCAAAGAUGUGCUUAUGAAUCUUUUAAGUCAUUCAGCAUGAAAGAAAGCAUGAAAAACGAGUUAUCAAGUUGAGUUGUCUGAUUAGUUUUUAAUCAGCAUGAUAUUUAUACUCCAACCACUGAAAGCAUCCAUGUGAGCUGUAGAUCCAAGGCUCCGUGCGUCCACUGUGUUACAAUGCGUCAUGCUCGGCCCAAUACAAUAAUAUGAAAGCUUCUAAAGAAAGAAAGAAAGAAACUACAAUACAUUCAGAACUCAGCUGCCGGUCUACUCCUGCACCAGAGAUCACGCCCCCCCAGCCCCCCAGAACUGUUCAAGAUCAUUCUCAUACCAUAUAAAGCCCUUCACACCCUCGCCCCCUCAUACCAUUCCUACCCCUAAAUUUACACUACUUCUUACCCCACCUACUCUGUCAACGCAUCGGACCUGUGGGGGGCAGGGCCUUCUCUAUCGAUGCCCCCUCCCUCUGGAACUCCCUCCCCCAACACCUCAGAUGUUCUCCGUCACUCGCCCUAAAAACUCACCUGUUUAAAUCCGCCUUUACCACGUAAAGUGUUUGAGUGCCUUUUAAAGCGCCAUAUAAAUAAAGUGUGUUAAUAUUCAAAUGCAACAAAAGGAUUGAAUUAGUGCAAUAAAAAUAGACAGGUAUUAUUAUUUGUUAACAUACGAUACAGUGUUUGUCAAAAGCGCAGUCUCUGCCUGACGUUACACACUUACAACGACACGUUGAGUGGAUGGACGGGUGAGUGGGUGAGUGACUGAGUAGAUGGGUGAGUGGGUGGAUGAGUAAAUGGGUCAGUGAGUGAGUGAGGGAGUAGACGGGUGAGUGUGAGGGACUGAGUGGGUGGGUGAGUGAGAGACAGUAGAUGGGUGAGUGGGUGAGUGAGAGACAGUAGAUGGGUGAGUGGGUGACUGAGUACAUGGGUGAGUGAGUGACUGAGUAGAUGGGUGAGUGGGUGAGUAGAUGGGUGAGUGAGUGACUGAGUGGAUGGGUGAGUGAGUGAUUGAAUGGGUGAGUGGGUGAGUGACUGAGUAAAUGGGUGAGUGAGUGACUGAGUAGAUGGGUGACUGAGUCAGUAGAUGGGUGAGUGGGUGAGUGAGCGGGUCACAAAUCAAAGUUUCAUUCAGCGUAAAGCACAAAGCUCGGGUGUCAUUAUUAUUUUAAUUGACGAUUGACAACCGGACAUUUUAGUUUCCACUGAUAUUCUCAAUUGAUAUUAACGAAUAAAAUAACCCUCUCAACAAGAAAGAGGAUUAAUUACAUGAACUCUAUGAAAAGGCCAAUUUGUUCAGUUCAUCGUCACCGGGGAGCACGGAUGACUUUAAAAGUCUCACUGAACAGGUGGGUCUUUAAUAGAAGAACCUCUUCAGCACUGUGACCUUAAGCAGAACCCCCCCCCCCUCCCAUCAGGCUCUUCAUGCGUCAGUGUGCUGCAGGAUUUCCGUACCUCACAAGUGGAAUGAAACGCGGGGCGGCUUGAUAAUUGUUAAAGUCUCACCCCGUGUGCGUGCGCGCACACACACACACUCACAACCCAGGGCCAUGUGGCCAUAUCAACACAUCUGAGUGUAAUCCAGUUAACUGAGUGUCCCAAAUGACUAAAUUAAUCAGAGGAAUAGUAUCAGGCCCAUCUCUCUGUACGGCUUUGAUGUGUGUACACACACAGAAACUCAAACAGACUUGUGUACAUACACACAGACACACACACACACAGACACACAAAGACAGAUACAAGACACAUAUAGAGUAGAAAUUAGUGUGGAACAUUGGUCGAACUGAGGAACGACUUUACCUGCUCUGAUAAUAAGGCCUUAAACCCACGGAGGGGCCUGUGAGAUACUAUCAUUAAACCGGCGCCCCCAGGGGUACGGAACACACACACACACACACACACACACACACAGACGUCGGUUGUAUGCAUGGGAGUGAGAGAGAUCAAAAAGAUGCAUUGAUUCACGGCUCCACAGUAAAAUAGAACAAAAAAGAUCAUAACUGUGGUUCUGUUGCACCUGCGAAGUGCACGUGUUCAACGACGACAUCACUCCUAAUUGACGAUCGUGCUUGUGAGAUACAGUUGAGGGGUAAAGUGCUUCCAACACAGCUCUGACUUCCUUAUCAUCUUUCCUCCAGAUGCUACAGCUGCCAACAGCAGAACAAAGGUGCCUUGAUUCUGCCGUGUAGUUUUCUAAUGUUGGAAAGACUUUCACGCGAAUUUCACGCAUUUAACUAAUAACAAUAUGACAUUUCAUCACGUGCUACACUCUCUAGCAGGAAUCAACAUGGUUCAAGGAUUUGGUCGAUUUCACCUCUUUUGAUCUUAUUCCAGUUAUAGUGAUUUUCAUAAUAAUUUUGCAACACAAAUGAGCUGACAAGAGGUUGUUUGGUUUGCGUUGUCGUGGUGAUUAUCGGGUGCAGGCAGGCAGGAAAGAGGCACAAUUGUCUGUUGUCUUCUUCCCGUAGACACAACAGAAACUCGUCCAACAACUGAUUUUAGGGUUGUUGUUUUUUACAAGGGCAUCACUUAGUAUUAGUAUCUCGGGAGACUUUUGUAAACUUCUGUUGGUUAGUUAGUUAGUUCUGAAACCGUGGGUGACACACAAUCAGGAACAACAAUAGUGCAUUUUAUGACACAUAUUUAUUUGGUGGUUUAGGGAGUCAUAUCAACAGCUACAGCUACUUGCCUUAGUUUGCACCAGUUGAAACUACACACGUUCUAUUAGGCUCACUUAAUCCGCAGUGCAAAAACUUUUUCCCGUGAAAAGGGGUGUAGCUUUUCAAAGACAUGGAUGAAUAUUAAUUCAUAUUAAUGAUCUUAUAAUAAUAAUAAUAAUAAUAAUAAUAAAACAAUUUAAGUGAAUCCGCUUUAAAUCCCCAAAUAAAAUCAGUCAAUAUAACAAGCAGAGUUAAUUAUCCUUCAUACAAAAUAUGUUGUUUUUUUUUGUCACUAAGCAACGCAAUCAACUUUUUAAUUACAGAAAAUAUUUCACUGUCACAUCAGUGUCCUGGUGGUGAAAAGGAGAAUCUCAGUUUCACAUGCUUUUAAUGUUGCUUCAGAGGUGUUUCCCAUCUUGCCAGUAGACAUUUGUGGUACCUACAGUAUCACUGUGUAGCAUUUUGGGGGUUUUGUUGCAUUGAUUAAAAAGGAGCGUGUUAGCGGAGCCAGGCAGCUUUGAGCUAAACCAAUGCUCACAAGCAGAACCCUCCAUUAAAAUAAUGAAAGCAAUAAAAGCAACAACAACAACAACAACAACAAUAAUAAAACCUUUGGAAAACAUUUCAUAAACCAUCAGCAGCCAAUUAGAGGAGCCGGCGCAGGCUGUGCUUUGUGUGUGAGUGUGUGUCUGUGUGUGUGUUGGGUAUUAGAGCGUUACAGCGCCCAGCCCGGCUGUGCCCUGCAGGCCCGACCUUCUAAUCAUUAUCUGUCUGUCUUAUUACGCUCCAAACCGGGCCACUCUUAAAUAAAAUAUGCAAAGGUUUCUUAAAUGAUGACCCGAGGCUGCGCGCGCCGCCGCUGCUCUACAUGCUGUUAAUCUGAGAAAUGCAAAUUCCCUUCAUCUCGCACUCGCCUUUAUUAACUUUUUUGAAUUUAAAAUUCCACGAACAAUGAGUUCUGUCAGCUUCUGAAAUGAUAUUUUCUCUCCUCUUUUUAUGUGCGCACGGAAGCGAGUUUAGAGCAUGAAAUUACCAGGGGAAAUAUGAGCGGUUUCAUCUCUCCCGCACAAUUUAAUUGGCUGCUUUGCAAUUAUUAGUUUUUGCUGCUAAAGUUUUUCUGUUUUUUUUUUUCCUUUACUGUUUCCUUAAAGUGGCAGCUCACAACAGCGUUUUAUUUUUCAACGUAUACAUACACAUAGGUGUGUGUGUGUGUGUGUGUGUGUGUGUGUGUGUGUGUGUGUGUGUGUGUGUGUGUGUGCGUGUGUGUGUGCCUGCAAUUCCAAAGGCAACCCUUAGUUGGCUGCUCUGAUUGGCCGCUCUGAUUUGCUGGGUGAUUCCAUGUUAGUUACACAGCAUUUUAAUAUUCACAUUUUAAAUUCAGUUUUAUUGUGAGGAAAAAGUCUCUUAAGCUGGUGAUAAUAGACAAAUGGAUGCGUAAAAAGAUCCCUUUAUUAUGCACAAUAGGUUUUUUAGAGUAUCUGCCUUUUCUUGAAUUUGAUUUUUGACAUUUUGUUAUUUUUUUAACUGCAGAUUUCACACACAGAACAAGGUUUAUUCCUCACCUUUUCUCAUGCACCUCUUUUCUUCUACCUGUUCUAUGUCCACGUGUUCUCCCUAACAUCAUUCUCCAUGCUUCUGUCCCUCCGUCAUUCACCUCGUUCUCGUUCUUCCUCUCAGAGGUCCAAAUGGCUCCAGGUGAUUAUGAACUUCUGACUCAACUUCUUCAGACUAUCAGAGAAAUGUUUUUAAGUGUUCAUGCAUUGUGUUCACCUGCCGUCAACUUUGCCUGCAGUUUAUUGCUGAGCAGGCAGCGUACAGGGGGGUCAACUAAAUGACUGAGUACGACCAGAUAGACAAAAUCAAUGAAAAAGAAUUAAAACAAUACUACAAUUAUGGUCAAAAAACAAAACAAUCGCAAAGAGUUGAGAGUAACGUGGAGCCAUGGUGAUUAUUCAGUGUUGAAGGUACUUCCUUUGAGAUCUUACACAUCAGGUCGUGUACUAUGAUCAUUUGCUGCGUUUCGAUGUGAAAAAUAUUUAUUUCUAAUCUCAAAGUGUGUAACCAUGUUCCCCAGAGAUGGAUUUAAAUGUUUACAACAACUGAAAAUUUAAAAUCUGUAUCCUCCACCUCACACUGUGUUUUCCUCUCCAUCUCCUCCUCUGGUCUCUUCCCCCCUGCUUGGCAGCCGAGAGUAAUGGACGAGGUUAUAAGUGUGUGGAGGCUUCAAUUGCUUUAUAGGAAUAAUGACUCUGAACUAAUGUUGAUUAGAAAGAAAUAAGACGCAAACAUAACGAGGGCUCGCGCCUCAUUCCCUUUAAUCGCCGUCCUUAUUUACCUCUCUGCCAGAGUGCUGUUGCUCAGCUUCCACAAAGGAGCAGCAAUAGGAUGUUAUCAGGAACAGGGAAAAACACGGAAAUAGGAAAUAUAUGAAAUAUUGUAUCAGGAAAAAACAACAGUUAAAUUGAUUUUAGCCAGACACAAUAAAGAAUAGUUCAUCCGGCGUUUGUGUAAAAUGAGCAUCCUCAAUAAGACCAUAGGUAAGACCUUGUUGUUAGACCCUCCUUAAACAACCUCAUCUCAUUUCCCCGUCUGUAGAGCAGGCUCUCUACAGAUGUGAGAAAUGUGUGAGGUGUGGAGCCAGAGCCAGGAGGCCACUAGUUUAGCUUAGUUUAGCUUAGCUUAGCUUAGCUUAGCUUAGCUUAGUUUAGCAUGGCGUAGAUUAGCUUAGCCUAAAGACUGGAAGCAGGAGGAAAAGGAGGGCCUGGCUCUGAAGUGACACAUGUCUACUCUUGAAGAGACAGCAAAUGAGUGUUAGAUGGGUUUCAUAUCCCACAAGGAAGGAAAAUAUACAUACAAAGAACAUCUGUCUCAGGAAAGGUUGCCUUCCUAAUCAUUCACCCAGAAAUAAUACAUUAUAUUAAAAAGAGUAACAUUGUUUGUUUAUUCAUGUGUUUGCUAUUCGCUGUACUGCACCACAUACAGAUAGGCGACAAUAUGUUUAAUAGCUUUCGGCCUAUUCGUCAGUGCCUUGUACAUAAUACUACACUAUACAUGUUUUUACUAUCUUGAAAUAUUGGCUAAUAAGUGGAGUGAAUUAGAUUUAUUUUUUAAGUGACAUUCUUCUGCUCUCGCCACCUGUGAUUAUUUUUUACCCGUUAAACACAAAGCAAAUUCCAUGUAAGUAAAAGUGUCAAAUGUGUUCAAAUUUAAAACAGCAGCAGUUUUAUUAACUACACCUGACAGGUAAAAAGAAGAUUUUAAAGCAGCCUGGAACUUUAACUCAGAGAACUCUAUCGUUCAGUCCGUGUUCCCAAAAGACGUUUGCACAAAGCGCCCUCCUCCUCUGUGCCGAGUUGUAGUUUCAGUCUGAGAACAUUCUCCCUGUAACACCCCCACAAUCCCUGCAUUUCUCCGCUCUCAUCAAGCUCUUGCUCUUGUCCUUGCCGCUCAACUGCUGUACUUCAAAGUACUUUCACCAGCACCUUUCUCCUCCUCCUCCUCCUCCUCCUCCUUCUCCCCCACAAACCAUUUAGUUUUGCCCUCAGUGUUAAAAAAAAUAACUUCCACGCUGCCUCCCGACAUGCAGAAGAUGAUGAUGCUGUUUUUGCUGCAGCGGCACAAAGAAAUGCUUUGUUUUGAAAUACGGUAAAGACGGGAUAAAUGUGAUACAAGCAUCAGAAUGCUACAUUUCAUGAAUCUUAAAAUCAUCUACGAAUAAUCAACACUGUCAUAACAUCUGCAAUGUUGCAGAUGACGCAAUGGAAAGCAAUUAACUGGUGUGCGUCUGUGAUGCAUGGUUGUGAUGCCGUUUGGAGGAGCAAUUGAUUAGGCCCGCCGGAUCUCAGCCAGGAGCUCAGUGCAUUGUGGGUGACGGAGCGGGGAGGGGGGGGGGUUUGGGGUCCGUGGUGACGACGGCACAUCCACGCAAACGCACCGAUUUAUCCACCCUGUGAUAUUGUUGGUAUUGAAUAAUUCAAUGAUUUUAUCAGCCCCAACCACAACAAAUGACUUAAUUAUGCUAAUCGAAGCCACAAACUCUGAGAGAUGUUAGUGUGAGUGUGUGUGUGUGUGUCUGCUGGAUUGACAGAAGCCUACGGGCCUCAGCACCGAAACGCUGAUCUGGAAUUUCACAUCCUUAUCCCAAAAGCCUUAGGACACACACACACGCACACACACACACAAGUGAGCGCACACACAGACACACAUACACACACACACACACACACACACACACUGCCCAAAGAGCCACCGGGCGAUUAGCACUACUCUACCUAGAGUCUUUUGAUUUGCAUAGCAAGUCAGAUGGAAUUCAUAUCAGUGUGCAGCAAGUGUGACACACACACGCACACACACACACACACAAACACACACACACACACACAUACCUACAUAAGAGUAUGCACAAGCAAAAAAACACACACGCGCACACAGAGCGUGUGUAAAGUGAACACGAAGCAGUUGUGAUUUCUUUUCUGGCGUCUCAGUGAGGUUAUAAUUCACAAUGAUGGACUGUCUGUGUCUGCAGUGCAUCACCCAGGGCAACACACACACACACACACACACACACACACACACACACACACACACACACACACACACACACCUGUGGUCUGCACACACUGACAACAUGAAGAUGAACAGCAGCCCGCUCAACGUUGACGAAAGAGAGGUAACAGCAUCGCUUCUUUCUUAGACGGUACACAUGACAGAGAGCUGAGGUCGGCUCGUUGUGAGCAGACUUCCGUUGUUUCUUACAACUCAACACAAAUACCAAUGACUUCAAUCAGAUGUUUUCAAUAGCUGCUAUUUUCUCCCUUAAGUUUAGAUUUGAUUUUGAUUCAAGCCAGAAGUCGCUGGGUAAGAAGGCCUUCAGAUCACCGGAGCUCUUAAACACCCCAAGCUGGUUUGCAUUUAUAGAUUUACAGAGAAAAAUGGGGAUUUGGGACAGUUUAGCAAAGCUGCACAGUCAGGCAGCAAGCAACAAGUAAGUUGUUUCAAAUCCAAACGACGGAUAGUGGAUGGAAUCGUGGAAAUGGGAUUUUCUUUUUAACUUGUGAGGGGGCCCAAAAGGACUUUUCCCCUCGGACUUACUUUCUGAAAUAGUCAUCUUCAAUUUAGCACAUCAUUGUUUUUGUAAAUCAACAGCCCUGGUUGAGAAGCUUUUUAGGUUAUCAUUAGAUCCCAAAAGUUGCCAAAUGUAAACUUAUUUUCCUUCAUCCCUCAUGAAGCUGAGCGACUGGGAGGCGGGGUUAAAGGGAGCGCCGGAGCUUAAGCGCUGUAGAAUAGAUCCAUUGAUGAUCUGGGAAAUUUUAUAGCUGGCAGUCGAUCUGUAUCCACAUGUUUCUACGGACCCACAUUGACAGCAGCAGGGUCAUUCAUGGGAGACAUUCUAUUUUUCUCAUGAACCACUGUAGUUAACUGGUCUAAGGUAUCUUCCAACGCUACAUGUGUGCUAAAAAACUCAAAUAUAUUCUGUAUGCAAAUCAAACAUUUCCCCCGUUUGACAUUCCAUUGAUGUAAAUUAACAGCUUUCCUUUUCAACAAAAGCAGAUUCUUGUUCGUAUUACAUUUCUCUUUUGAGAAUUUUCCAUCAACUAUUGUAACAGGACAAAGCACACUAGCACACCCAGUGUGUUGGGGGCCACAAAGUCAACACAAAAAUGUUUGGAGACUUAGCGAUUUGCAGUCAGAACGUUUGGCUUUUUCUCAACAAAUGAGGUUCUCUUUUGACAAUGAAAAACAAACUAGUAAACUCGGCCCGUUUCCAUUGUUCUCCUGUCAAACUCAGUGUUCGGUCCACAUUGUGGAGCAGAACAGCCUGACCACGAACACUGCAAUUGAACGGUUUUAUGGAAAACAGCUGUGUUGAAUCUGUUCCAGCCCCCUUUUUUUUCACCUCAUGAAUGAAAUUUCCCAUGCUGCACUGCUCCAGGCUCUGGCACCGAGGAGGUAGAACGCUCUCCCUCUCUCCCUCUCCCUCUUUCUCUCUUUGUUUAAUGCCUUCAAACACCGUAUUGCCGUUUGUCAAUUACUGACACACGUUUUGGCAACAAACACGGCAUUAAUUGAAACAUUUAAUUAGCAUUAAAACCAGUAGUAAUUAACACCUUUUUUCUCCGGCGCACUCUGAGCCAGGCUCAAAUUCUAUUAAGGCUCUAAGCAGCUCACCGUUUCCCUGCUCUGCACUGACUUUUUGUAGCAUCGACAAAUGUGUGUGUGUGUGUGUGUGUGUGUGUGUGUGUGUGUGUGUGUGUGGGCGUGUGUUUAUGUGUGUGCACGCACGCAGGGCCCCAGGUAAGGAGCUUCCGUGAGGAGUGGAGCACCAAGGCCGGGCCCGCUGGGUGCCCAGGGGAGGAGGAGAAGAAAGGCUGUUGAGGAGGGAGGCGAAGGCGAAGUGAGGAAAAAUAAAUAAUAAAAAGCAGGGAGCAGGUCAAGAUGGGAGGGAGGGGGGUGAGAAAGAAAUAAGGUGGGAGGCGAAGGAAAGGCAUGAAUGAGGGAGGUGGGCGAGAGGGAGCGACAGAAGGAUUAAAAGCAGAAGGGGGGGUGAAGAAGAAGAUGAAGAAGAAAGGGAGGGGCUUGUGAAAAGUGAGAAAGAGAAGAAGCAGAGCGACUGUUUGAACACACACACACACACCGUGAGGAUUAACCAAUACUUUUGCGUGUGUGUGUUUUACAUACAGUUCAUGUUUGCACAUACUUGUGUGUGUGUGUGUGUGUGUGUGUGUGUGUUGUGGUGUGUGUGAGGCCUACUUGGAGCCAAAGCAGGGGCCUGGAUUAGUUGCGUUUGCCAGAGCUGGGGGGCAGGAUUAGCAGGCCCGGGCUGCUGUCUGACGCCGCUCUGCCACCACUAAUGGCAUUAUUAAUAGGCAGCUAAAAAAUUCAUUAAAAAAUCUAUUAAAAAUAAAUGUGUUUUACAUAAGACUUUGCCCCAGGUAGAAGGGAGGCAGGGGGAGAGGGAGGGGGGGAGACAGAAUGGGCGAUUGUUAGCUUUGAGGUCAGCUGAAUAUCACAGUUCAGCCUCAGCAGAGAGAAGUAAACACAACAACGCUCGUGUGACCGGAAACGUGCCGCUUGUGGGGUAACGAGGACAAAGCGACGCGGCCGACGUCCACGAGGCUCAGAGUGCACGUUAAAACACACGUCCGCUGUUCCUGUCCUACACAGCCGGUAGAUUGUGAACGAAAAAGUGAGAAAAUGCACCAUGAGCCGAUGACUCCCCCUAUGUGAACGUGUGUGGCCGGGUCGCAUAACAGGGUAAGAAAACUGGGUCAUUUUCCUUUUCUUUCAUAUGUUAGUUUGAAGCCAAAAAUAUAUCAUUGCCGUGCAAAUAAAUGUCACACCGAGCUCACAUUCACACACUGUGUUGGUCCAAAGCAUCGUCUGCAUCAAAGUAUUUAAAAGUGAUUAGCGUCGUCCUGUGAGUGAAACGGUCAGGAGUUAUUAUCUGAGAGGCGGAGGCGAGGGGGGGAGGCUGAAGGUGAGACGGUUCUGCUUUGUGUGCGCCCUGCGGACAUUUUAACCAAAUCAGAUUAACAACAAUAGCUGUGUCUAAACGCACACACACACACAGAUCUGAAGGGGGAGCACGGGGGGCAGUUACACGUGGCAGCUGCCGGCUGAAAGACGUUAUCUUUUGAAUUUAUGUGUGUUUAUUUCAUGUUACAUGCGAUCAGACCAAGACAGCAACUGAUUUUGGAGUCCGCCUACCACCCCCCCCCACCCCCCCCCCACACACACACACACAUUUUCUAUUUAUCUGAAAGGAGCAUAGUUGUAUUCCUGUUACAAAAUACGGGACUCAAAAUUGUGAGAUCAGUAGCUUUCACCGAAUAACCUGAGCUGGUGUUCAAUUAAUAAGCUGCCUCACAGCGACGGGGAUCCUUCUCUUAUGAGUGAUGCAUCACGAUUCAAUCAAUAUUAGUGAACAUUGGCUUAAUAAACAUGACAUAGAAGAAGGUAGAGGCACAAAUACCUGAAUACAUUUUGACCGAUGCAUUAUCAGAGAGUCAGAAAAAUAACCUAAAACCACAAUUAUUAGUCUAAAAUCAUUUUAAUACAGCGAUGCAGCAUAACACGGAAAAAGGGUUUUAGAAGUACUUUUAAAACCCCCUCAGCAAAGAAACAAUGAUAAAUAUAAACAAAACAAAAACCCACUGACGCACUGAUCAUGGGAUUGUGCACCAGUGAGUCCAGCCUCGUCCCUCAUGCUUCAUGGUCAUCGGUUGACACGCGGACUAUGGAACCAUUUACAUAACAAAGCACCAGAAACAACGGAUACACACAAAAGCGUUGGGGAACUCUUUACAACAUCUUCCCCCUCCGUAAGGGAGGGGCACACAAGCACCCGUGUUACAUCAUCAUGGCGAAAGGACAACGCACCAAGAAUGAUAACAAAUACAGCACAAGUUAUGUGUUUCCUGUUUGCUAUGAGUGGGAGGAGCUUGCAGGCCUCUGAACCGUAAAUCACACAUCGAAUCUCUCAGAUACUUCACUGAUCACAUUGCCGGUCAGUUAGACAGUUGAAACAAACAACCCAAUCGAUAUCGAAUCAGAGAUUUGUAGGCAAGAGCAAGAAAAUCACCUACCUGAUUGAAUGGCGGCAGACAUGGUGAGAAAAGCAGCAGCUCGCAGAAACACAUUGAGAUUUUACAAAUUGUUGAAUUCAAUAUUUCAGUGUGAUGAACAUCAGCUGCAACUGUAACAAGCACCGCUGCAGCUUGAAACUGAAAAAGACUGUGCAGAUAAACAGAACCGUUAAAUAUAAUCACAACCCACGUUUCUGUAAUCUGAACCUGGAUUUUUCACUUGAUGCUUGAAACUAAAUCUCAUUUUACUUUGGCUCUUUGGGCUAAACUCGCACUUGGCAUCACAUUAUCCAUCAAACACUUGUUGGGGAGAUAUUUAAGGUCUUUAAGAAUAUGUCAGCAGAGGGAUUCUCAAUCAGAGCUGGAAAAAAAAGGCAACUUGAGUCAAACGAGGGAGGGCAGAAAGUAAAAGGCAGGAAGGAGAAAAAGACAGCAGAAAGUCAGCAACAUUCACACUCAAAGCAAACAUCAAACAUCAUCAAACACUCUGAAUGAGACACUUUGAUCUGCCUGGCUCCACAGGAAGCCAGCAUCUUUAGAAAAUCCUCCAAAUGUAAAUUAAUUUACUACAGAAAGAAAUCCCGAGGCACUUGUGCGUGCAACCCAACGCCAGACAUCAGAGGGUUAAAACCCAAACUCUGCAACUCAGCCCACAGAGACGGUUCAGCCCUGCUGACGGGAUGUUAAACCAAGCCCCCCCCCUGCACCCACCCCCCCCAACCAACAUUCAAACUGACACACGUGACAGAAAUUCACAUUCCAGUCCGUCCCCAAACAAGAUGGGGGAAUCUGUGUGAUAACGAUAAUCGUGUGUGAGUCUACAGCCGGCCCUCGUUGUUCCGCUGCCUUUCAGGCCGCACCCGCCUCCUGGUGACCUGAUAUGGGACAAAGGAAUUUUCAUAACCGUAAACGACGAGACGUACGCAUUGAGCGUGGAAGAGAAAGGACCAGUUGGGCCGAGGGGCUUGCAUGCUGUUAUUGUUAUUGAUAUGAUUAUGGGGGGGGUGGUAACCAGUAACCAGUGGUACGUAUAUUCAUCCACACAGACAUUCCUUACCUUACCUCCCUCCCCUCCCUUGUUAUUGACGACACAUUACGUUUAACAUGGGAUUUUCUCACCCUUUUACUCGCCUGCAGCGGAUCCCAAUGGGUUUAAAACAGCACCAUGUUGAGCAAUGUUGGACUCUUAACGUCCCGUGAAGUCUUAUUCACGUUUAUGUCAAAAUGGGAUUCUCGAAAAUUCAGGGUUGUCUAACCCAUUUUUAAAUGUUUCUUAUAUGAUUAUUAUUAUUUAUUUUUUUACUUGAGACAUUAAAAAAAUGUACUUAAUAUGACAAAUGUAAACAAAAUGGCCUACGGUAUCAUUACACUCGUGUAUAUCGUUAUGAUGUAAGUGCAUCACACCAAUAAUUGAAUUAAUAAUGUAAAAAAAAUAUCUAAUAUGAUAGAAUUGCAGAAA
ensembl:lncRNA